AACGGCCAUACCAUGCUGAAUAUACCGGUUCUCGUUAGAUCACCGAAGUCAAACAUCAUUGGGCGCGGUCAGUACUUGGGUGGGUGACCACCUGGAAACCCCGCGUGCCGUU
rnacentral:rRNA from 1 species